rnacentral:rRNA from 1 species
CACGUAGGGCGCAAGCGUUGUCCGGAAUUAUUGGGCGUAAAGAGCUCGUAGGCGGUCUGUUGCGUCUGCUGUGAAAACUCGGGGCUUAACCCCUGGCUUGCAGUGGAUACGGACAGACUAGAGGUAGGUAGGGGAGAAUGGAAUUCCCGGUGUAGCGGUGAAAUGCGCAGAUAUCGGGAGGAACACCGGUGGCGAAGGCGGUUCUCUGGGCCUUACCUGACGCUGAGGAGCGAAAGCGUGGGGAGCGAACAGG